UAGGGAAUCUUCCGCAAUGGGCGAAAGCCUGACGGAGCAACGCCGCGUGAGUGAUGAAGGUCUUCGGAUCGUAAAACUCUGUUAUUAGGGAAGAACAAAUGUGUAAGUAACUAUGCACGUCUUGUCGGUACCUAAUCAGAAAGCCACGGCUAACUACGUGCCAGCAGCCGCGGUAAUACGUUGGUGGCAAGCGUUAUCCGGAAUUAUUGGGCGUAAAGCGCGCGUAGGCGGUUUUUUAAGUCUGAUGUGAAAGCCCACGGCUCAACCGUGGAGGGUCAUUGGAAACUGGAAAACUUGAGUGCAGAAGAGGAAAGUGGAAUUCCAUGUGUAGCGGUGAAAUGCGCAGAGAUAUGGAGGAACACCAGUGGCGAAGGCGACUUUCUGGUCUGUAACUGACGCUGAUGUGCGAAAGCGUGGGGAUCAAACAGG
rnacentral:rRNA from 1 species